rnacentral:misc_RNA from 1 species
GAUGAAGAACGCAGCGAAAUGCGAUAAGUAAUGUGAAUUGCAGAAUUCAGUGAAUCAUCGAAUCUUUGAACGCACAUUGCGCCCGCCAGUAUUCUGGCGGGCAUGCCUGUCCGAGCGUCAUUUCAACCCUCGAACCCCUCCGGGGGGUCGGCGUUGGGGACCUCGGGAGCCCCUAAGACGGGAUCCCGGCCCCGAAAUACAGUGGCGGUCUCGCCGCAGCCUCUCCUGCGCAGUAGUUUGCACAACUCGCACCGGGAGCGCGGCGCGUCCACGUCCGUAAAACACCCAACUUCUGAAAUGUUGACCUCGGAUCAGGUAGGAAUACCCGCUGAACUUAAGCAUAUAAUAAGCGGAGGA